GAAGGUAUAGUUCAGUGGUAGAGCACAUGCUUAGCAUGCACAAGAUCCUAGGUUCAAUCCUCAGUACCUCCA
rnacentral:tRNA from 1 species